CCUACGGGAGGCUGCAGUAAGGAAUAUUGGUCAAUGGACGCAAGUCUGAACCAGCCAUGCCGCGUGGAGGAUGAAGGUCCUCUGGAUUGUAAACUUCUUUUAUUUGGGAAGAAACUCCCGAUUUCCAUCGGGCUUGACGGUACCAGAUGAAUAAGCACCGGCUAACCCCGUGCCAGCAGCCGCGGUAAUACGGAGGGUGCAAGCGUUACUGGGUUUAACGGGUUUUAAGGGGGGCGUAGGAGGCAGGGGUGAAAUCUCCGGGCUUAACCCGGAAACUGCCAUUGAUACUAUUUGUCUUGAAUACUCUGGAGGUGAGCGGAAUAUGUCAUGUAGCGGUGAAAUGCUUAGAUAUGACAUAGAACACCCAUUGCGAAGGCAGCUCACUACGGAAAUAUUGACGCUGAGGCACGAAAGCGUGGGGAUCAAACAGGAUUAGAUACCCUGGUAGUC
rnacentral:rRNA from 1 species